rnacentral:rRNA from 1 species
AUUGAACGCUGGCGGCAUGCCUUACACAUGCAAGUCGAACGGUAACAGGUCUUCGGAUGCUGACGAGUGGCGCACGGGUGAGUAAUACAUCGGAACGUGCCCGAUCGUGGGGGAUAACGAAGCGAAAGCUUUGCUAAUACCGCAUACGAUCUACGGAUGAAAGCAGGGGACCGCAAGGCCUUGCGCGAACGGAGCGGCCGAUGGCAGAUUAGGUAGUUGGUGGGAUAAAAGCUUACCAAGCCGACGAUCUGUAGCUGGUCUGAGAGGACGACCAGCCACACUGGGACUGAGACACGGCCCAGACUCCUACGGGAGGCAGCAGUGGGGAAUUUUGGACAAUGGGCGAAAGCCUGAUCCAGCCAUGCCGCGUGCAGGAUGAAGGCCUUCGGGUUGUAAACUGCUUUUGUACGGAACGAAAAGACUCUGGUUAAUACCUGGGGUCCAUGACGGUACCGUAAGAAUAAGCACCGGCUAACUACGU